UAGGGAAUCUUCGGCAAUGGGGGGAACCCUGACCGAGCAACGCCGCGUGAGUGAAGAAGGUUUUCGGAUCGUAAAGCUCUGUUGUUAAGGAAGAACGAGUGUGAGAAUGGAAAGUUCAUACUGUGACGGUACUUAACCAGAAAGGGACGGCUAACUACGUUCCAGCAGCCGCGGUAAUACGUAGGUCCCGAGCGUUGUCCGGAUCUAUUGGGCGUAAAGCGAGCGCAGGCGGUUAGAUAAGUCUGAAGUUAAAGGCAGUGGCUCAACCAUUGUAGGCUUUGGAAACUGUUUAACUUGAGUGCAGAAGGGGAGAGUGGAAUUCCAUGUGUAGCGGUGAAAUGCGUAGAUAUAUGGAGGAACACCGGUAGCGAAAGCGGCUCUCUGGUCUGUAACAGACGCAGAGGCUCGAAAGCGUGGGGAGCGAACAGG
rnacentral:rRNA from 1 species